UUCCAGCUCCAAUAGCGUAUAUUAAAGUUGUUGCGGUUAAAAAGCUCGUAGUUGAAUCUGUGUCCCGCGCUGUCGGUUCACCGCCCGCGGUGUUUAACUGGCACGAUCGCGGGACGUCCUGCCGGUGGAUGUGUGUGUCAGUGCAUUUCGGUGUAUCUGGCUCCGCAUCCGACUCAACAAAUCCUGUCGCGGUGCUCUUAAUUGAGUGUCGAGGCGGGCCGGCACGUUUACUUUGAACAAAUUAGAGUGCUCAAAGCAGGCUAAAAUUACGCCUGAAUACUGUGUGCAUGGAAUAAUGGAACAGGACCUCGGUUCUAUUUUGUUGGUUUUCGGAACCCCGAGGUAAUGAUUAAUAGGGACAGAUGG
rnacentral:rRNA from 1 species